CCCCGCCAACACAUUGCUCUAUUCUCGUUAAAUGACUUCUUGAAUCCGAUUUUACCUGCUUUAUUGCAGAUCAAAACACGAGUUCAGCUUUAAGUAGCUCCUUGAGAGCAGAGGCCCAAGUUUCUGUCCCAGUGUCUGGCAUCUUACGUGCUAUUUUGUUGAAAUAGUGAAGUGGGAAACCCAGAAACAGCGUGUAGGUGGCCCGAAGUCCACGGUGAAAUGAGAUGCGGCAGCUUUUAAAAAGUCAUUGGGAGUCUUGGAUUCAGCUCCAUGGUGGCAGAUUUUGGAGACCCUGGAAUAAAGAUAGUAAAGCAGGCAUGGUGGGAAUCUUUGGAACAGAGAAGCCCCUGGAGACAGUCUCGGCCUGAGGUCACUGGGGCGCAAUGUACCCGCCCCACAAAGUAAUUAUUCUGCGGGCGAUUUCUUCAAAAAGUGAUUAACACUCGACUCUGUCGUGAUGCCGCAGUCACUACAGACAAUAACUUUAAGAGGCUGAUCUUCCACUAAUGAAAUCCUGUGUUUUCUCUGAGGUCACACAGGUGACUCAGAGCCUGCGCGGCUUCACACAUUCAGCGUAUGCUUCGACACCUAGUUGUUAACGGAUCACGGCUAGCUUGUGUAUCCCCUCCAACAUUACAUUGUAAGCUCUCAUCAGGACAGUCAUCAGACUGUCUCAUCAGACAGCAAAUAGGGGAAUUGAAGUCCAUCGUGUGUGAGAUCCUACGUAGUCCCUACUAAAUCUGGCUGAUGGCAGUUGUCUUAAUUGGCGGCAACUUUCUCAUUACGGUGCCUUCUUAACCGCUAAGAGGGUCCACGCUUUGCUUAAUCUGUGUUUACAAGCUUGUCAAGAGGGGCACGGAAGGCAAGGUGCACAAGGGGGUGUGGCUGAGUGUGAGCUAACGCGUCAAAGACACCUUGAAGAUACCCUCGGCCCAGUACCAUGUGCCCAUUAUCACAACACACGAAGGCUGGAAACCUUCUCACCGGAGCUCUACUGGUGACCCCCAGGGGGAACUGUGAUUCAUCUAUUCCAGGCGUGUAAACGUUCACACACUUAGAAAACUCCGAGGCAGGGAGAUUCAGCCUUCCGUAGGAGCUCAUUUCACUGUUUUGAAAGACCGAGGGAAUGAAUAUCUUCCUUCAACCUAAAUCCAUCACGGGGCUGCGUGUGCCGAUUCCCCAGAAGAGCCGGAGACCAUCUGGUGACCGCAUCUGUGUGAAAACCCUUUCCGUCCUCCCCAACUGUUGCUAGAUUCAGAAUACGUUGACCACGUGCAAAGUUUCCCGUAACAUUAGACUCCAGACCAGUCAUUCCUCUUGUCAGAAAAUGAUGGCACCAAUUAUCAAAACAUGAUGGCGGUCGCGAGCAAGGGAGAUAAAUUCAUCUACAAUGAAUGACCUGUUGUAAUAAAGUUUUGGAAAGCUUUCAGGUCUGCCGAAUAAAAGAGAGGUCUAUCGGGAAGAUCCAUCUAUCUUCUGUGAAAAGUCUUGUGCCACUGAACAAAGCAGAAAAUAGCCUCGAGAGUCCCCACUGGAAAAACGAGACCCUUCAUGAACGUAAUUCCCAUUACCGUCAUAGGACGUGAUGCUAAAGUGCCAACAGCUGGCAUGGGAAACUUUGCAGAAGGUACAAUGCAUACUGGGUAAAUCCAAGCACAACAGGACCAAGUUCUUAGCAUUUUACAUUUUAAAUAACACCCACCAAUGUUUGCCGACACGUGAGAUUUUCUAGCUAGGCUCUUUAAGGAAGGCAACUACAAUGUUAGUAACGAGAUUUGUCCUCUCACUUUGAGAAGCUCGUCAGAUGUGAAGUUUUAACAUGCUCACCGGGUCGGGCAGAUUUCCACUGUACGUUUCAUUGUUUGCCUGCCCCCCCACCCCCUCCCUUAAAGUUGCUAGGUUCUGCUGCAAAGAUUUUCGGGGCUGUUUUGUUGGCAGCUUAGGACGCAUCCGUGACCUUACCAAAGUGGAAGUGAAAGCUCUCAGUAUUUCUUCUUUCUUUCUCUCUUUCUUUCUUUUUUGCAACAGUAAAUCUAUUAAUUUUACAGUCAGUUGAACAGCAAUAGGUUAAUUUGUUUAAAGUCUGCGUUCACAAAGAAAACCUGGACCGCAGUGGCUUGAAUGCCUGAAACUGCAGCGUAGUGGCUGAAGGGUAGACACUCUUACAGCGCGCUCGGGACGGACGCUGGCGGUCCACUGUCACCUGCUUCUCCGCACAGGUGCUGACCCCUCGGUUGAUCCGGGGCCUCCUGGCGGGGUAGCGGGAAGGCUGGGCCUUUUGUGUGCUACAGAGAACGCUUUUCCAAGGACUGGGCCCGUUGUCUCCAGCAGCCACAGGAAGCAGAAGAAAGAAGAGGUUAAGGGCCACCGUGAGGGUCAGGAUGGGUUAAAUUUAGUUAACAUCGGAGGUUAUAGCUUUUAACAAGAGCUUCAAGAAAACUUAUUCGAAGAUGCAAUUUGUCUCUUCUUUGUCAACGGUUAUUAUUUUUUUUUUGCCCUAUUGAUAGUGACAGCCUAACAAAGUUUUUAUAUGCUGGAGGUUUUCAUCCUUUAUAGAGAAGAAAGGACUGUGUUCCUAAAGAGAGGUGCAGGUGGGGGACUUUAUAAAGCUUCCGUGAUUUUCAAAUUGGGAGGCUUUAGAAUAGGCUCCCUGCUUGGCUAAGUCAAAAAUAAUCUGUGAGGGAUGUUGAAAAAAAAAAUCCCCAUUAGAAAUGGAGGAAUGCUUCAGCAGUCAGAUGCAGGGGCUCAAGUUUCUAGAAGCUUCUUUGUGUGUGUUUACUUUCAACCACCCCAGCCUAGUUUUCCCAGUUGUUUUUUUCAAAGUUACCAAAGAGGCCCCCUCUUAAGUUUCCACAUGUGUGUUUCUUUCCAUUUCGAGCAUAACACCGGGCACCACUAGUUGUGUGUUAUUUCUCCGUGCAAGCAAAGGAGGUAGCCAUAGUUUUCUGCAUAUGUCCUUCAUGCCGUUUUCAUUCUAGUACUCUGUAUUUUCUCUCCACGGACUGAAAUCUUCUGGAAAUCGGCCUUUGGGAAGAGAGUCCUGUCAACUCUAGCCUUUCAAUUGGAAACACACACCUUUCAAUAGGUAUGAUUUACCUAGAACUGAUGUUGAGGGUCUUGUGACACGUGAAGGCUUCAGGUAUUAUUUAACUGCAUUUCUACGAUAAGAGGCUCGACUUCUUUUUGGUGAGUUUUAUACAUUCACGGGGCUGAGGUUUUAGAAUACUGAACCUGGGUUGCCAGAGCCACGGUUUUGCUCUGAUGGUCGGAAGGGUAAGUGUAAUCAAAUAAUCUAAGUGCUGUACUGUAAUAUGCAUUUGACAACAUGUUUGCCUUAGGUACAGUGAGGACUCAUUUAAUUAUUAUUCGGGAAAUACGAUGUUUUGCAUGAGAGAAUCUUCCAGGUACCUAAGCGUACCUUCCAGAAACACACAGAACUUCUAACCACUUUGAAUAAAAGCGUCUUAUAUAAUGUA